CCUACGGGCCGCAGCAGUGGGGAAUAUUGCACAAUGGGCGCAAGCCUGAUGCAGCCAUGCCGCGUGUAUGAAGAAGGCCUUCGGGUUGUAAAGUACUUUCAGCGGGGAGGAAGGUGUUGUGGUUAAUAACCGCAGCAAUUGACGUUACCCGCAGAAGAAGCACCGGCUAACUCCGUGCCAGCAGCCGCGGUAAUACGGAGGGUGCAAGCGUUAAUCGGAAUUACUGGGCGUAAAGCGCACGCAGGCGGUCUGUCAAGUCGGACGUGAAAUCCCCGGGCUCAACCUGGGAACUGCAUUCGAAACUGGCAGGCUAGAGUCUUGUAGAGGGGGGUAGAAUUCCAGGUGUAGCGGUCAAAUGCGUAGAGAUCUGGAGGAAUACCGGUGGCGAAGGUGGCCCCCUGGACAAAGACUGACGCUCAGGUGCGAAUGCGUGGGUAGCAAUCAGGAUUAGAUACCCGGGUAGUC
rnacentral:rRNA from 1 species